rfam:Clostridium sp. DL-VIII chromosome, whole genome shotgun sequence.
UCCUCGGCGACAAGGAAUCUGAAGGAAGCUGGAGGCAAACUUCUGGUCUGACGAACAGAAACUACAUCAGGCAUAUAUAUGUUGGGUAAAGUUGCAACACAAACUAAAGCCCUAAACUAUCCGGAAGCAUAUGGUGUAAAUGUAGCAGAUAUAUGAAAGGAAAGAUUGCGUU